CUCGAGGCCAGAUCUUUCCGGUUGAUCCCGCCGGACCCGACCGCUAUCGGGGUGGGACUAAGCCAUGGGAGUCGUGCGCCCCCGGACGCGGGGGCGCGGCGGACGGCUGAGUAACACGUGGCCAACCUACCCUCGGGACGGGGAUAACCCCGGGAAACUGGGGCUAAUCCCCGAUAGGCGAGGGGGCCUGGAACGGUCCCUCGCCGAAAGGGUGUGCGGAGCUUCCCCGCACACCGCCCGAGGAUGGGGCUGCGGCCCAUCAGGUAGUUGGCGGGGUAACGGCCCGCCAAGCCGAUAACGGGUAGGGGCCGUGGGAGCGGGAGCCCCCAGAUGGGCACUGAGACAAGGGCCCAGGCCCUACGGGGCGCAGCAGGCGCGAAUACUCCGCAAUGCGGGCAACCGCGACGGGGCUACCCCGAGUGCCGGCCGAAGAGGCCGGCUUUUGCCCGGUGUACAAAGCCGGGCGAAUAAGCGGGGGGCAAGUCCGGUGUCAGCCGCCGCGGUAAUACCGGCCCCGCGAGUGGUCGGGGUGAUUACUGGGCUUAAA
rnacentral:rRNA from 1 species